rnacentral:rRNA from 1 species
GGAAAGCAAGAUGUGCAAUCCCAGGGCUUAACCUUGGAACUGCAUUUGUAACUCCCGGGCUAGAGUAUGUCAGAGGGGGGUAGAAUUCCACGUGUAGCAGUGAAAUGCGUAGAGAUGUGGAGGAAUACCGAUGGCGAAGGCAGCCCCCUGGGAUAAUACUGACGCUCAGGCACGAAAGCGUGGGGAGCAAACAGG